GAAGGCAGCAUCUGUCUAUCUCAAGCUGAGGUCAUAGACCCCCUAGGCUUAGGCAAGCAUCUGCUAGCUGACCUGUUGCCCACAGAUGGACAAGACUCCACCCUCGGAAGGUAUUUCCCCUGCCCUUCCCGAGCGUGCACACUCUGAAGAGCCGAAGUUUGGUUGGGGAAGUGCAGAUGACUGGGGCCAAGAGGUCAGUGGAAGAUGACAUCUUUAAGAAGCUGAAAGAAAAAAAAAAAAAAACCUGUCAAUCUGAACUGUGUGAAGAACAAAGAGAGCCAAAAAAAAUUGAAACUGACAUUCAAACUUAUGUGGAGCUUCCAGGGCCUCUGAGUAGCCAAAACAAUAUUGAGAAAUAAGAAUAAAAUCGAGCCGGGCAGUGGUGGUGCACGCC